GAUUGAACGCUGGCGGCAUGCCUUACACAUGCAAGUCGAACGGCAGCACGGGUGCUUGCACCUGGUGGCGAGUGGCGAACGGGUGAGUAAUACAUCGGAACAUGUCCUGUAGUGGGGGAUAGCCCGGCGAAAGCCGGAUUAAUACCGCAUACGAUCUACGGAUGAAAGCGGGGGACCUUCGGGCCUCGCGCUAUAGGGUUGGCCGAUGGCUGAUUAGCUAGUUGGUGGGGUAAAGGCCUACCAAGGCGACGAUCAGUAGCUGGUCUGAGAGGACGACCAGCCACACUGGGACUGAGACACGGCCCAGACUCCUACGGGAGGCAGCAGUGGGGAAUUUUGGACAAUGGGCGAAAGCCUGAUCCAGCAAUGCCGCGUGUGUGAAGAAGGCCUUCGGGUUGUAAAGCACUUUUGUCCGGAAAGAAAUCCUUGGCUCUAAUACAGUCGGGGGAUGACGGUACCGGAAGAAUAAGCACCGGCUAACUACGUGCCAGCAGCCGCGGUAAUACGUAGGGUGCGAGCGUUAAUCGGAAUUACUGGGCGUAAAGCGUGCGCAGGCGGUUUGCUAAGACCGAUGUGAAAUCCCCGGGCUCAACCUGGGAACUGCAUUGGUGACUGGCAGGCUAGAGUAUGGCAGAGGGGGGUAGAAUUCCACGUGUAGCAGUGAAAUGCGUAGAGAUGUGGAGGAAUACCGAUGGCGAAGGCAGCCCCCUGGGCCAAUACUGACGCUCAUGCACGAAAGCGUGGGGGAGCAAACAGGAUUAGAUACCCUGGUAGUCCACGCCCUAAACGAUGUCAACUAGUUGUUGGGGAUUCAUUUCCUUAGUAACGUAGCUAACGCGUGAAGUUGACCGCCUGGGGAGUACGGUCGCAAGAUUAAAACUCAAAGGAAUUGACGGGGACCCGCACAAGCGGUGGAUGAUGCGGAUUAAUUCGAUGCAACGCGAAAAACCUUACCUACCCUUGACAUGGUCGGAAUCCCGCUGAGAGGUGGGAGUGCUCGAAAGAGAACCGGCGCACAGGUGCUGCAUGGCUGUCGUCAGCUCGUGUCGUGAGAUGUUGGGUUAAGUCCCGCAACGAGCGCAACCCUUGUCCUUAGUUGCUACGCAAGAGCACUCUAAGGAGACUGCCGGUGACAAACCGGAGGAAGGUGGGGAUGACGUCAAGUCCUCAUGGCCCUUAUGGGUAGGGCUUCACACGUCAUACAAUGGUCGGAACAGAGGGUUGCCAACCCGCGAGGGGGAGCUAAUCCCAGAAAACCGAUCGUAGUCCGGAUUGCACUCUGCAACUCGAGUGCAUGAAGCUGGAAUCGCUAGUAAUCGCGGAUCAGCAUGCCGCGGUGAAUACGUUCCCGGGUCUUGUACUCACCGC
rnacentral:rRNA from 1 species